AUUGGUGAAUGUGUAAAAGACUCAGCUACCCUCACAUUUACAACAAUCCAUCUCACACUUUCUCUCCGUUGAUACGAUCACCUCCGUCGAUAUCCAUCGCCUAUGUUACUUCCGUCGUCGAUAUUGAUCGCCUCCGUUGCUUCCGUCAUCAAUAUCCAUCGCCUCCGUUGCUUCCGUUUCGAACGAUUCUCUCUCUCACGCCGGCGUCAAAUCGUAUUUCACUUCCAUCCCUCUUCUAUACGAUAUCAUAGCCUCCGUCCAUCGCCUCCAUAUCAAUCAUCGACGGAUUCUCUCUCUCUCACGCUGCCGGAUUCUCUCUCUCUCUCUCUCUCUCACGUCGCCGGAUUCUCUCUCCCACGUCGAGAUCUCCGCCGAGCCAUUCCUCCAAAAUGUCGAUUCCAGAUUCACAAUUUGGUUGUGUUCCCGAGCUUCGGGGAACGUUACCUCUCGACAAUGCUCUUCCAGUCGAUCCGUGAAGAGUGCGACAAAAUGCAGCCUGAGAUUUGAAGUUGUGAACCUCUUUGUUUUUUUUGAACAAAUGUAUAUUUGCGUAUUACAGUGUGCAACGCAAUUGGUGUUUGUUAAUAAAUGCAUAAGGCCUCA